rnacentral:rRNA from 1 species
UACGGGGGAGCAAGCGUUGUUCGGAUUUACUGGGCGUAAAGGGCGCGUAGGCGGCGUGGCAAGUCACUUGUGAAAUCUCCGGCUUAACUCGGAACGGUCAAGUGAUACUGCUGUGCUAGAGUGCGGAAGGGCAACUGGAAUUCUCGGUGUAGCGGUGAAAUGCGUAGAUAUCGAGAGGAACACCUGCGGCGAAGGCGGUUGCUGGCCGAACACGUGACGCUGAAGCGCGAAAGCUAGGGGAGCGAACGGG